rnacentral:tRNA from 1 species
AGAGACAUAGCUCAGUUGGUUAGAGCAUUCGCCUGAUAAGCGAAAGGUCGGUGGUUCGAGUCCACUUGUCUCUACCA